UUGGUAACCCAUAGAAGUAUUUGAUCAGAGAUGUGAAUGCAAGUUUUUAAGAAGAUCAUCUGACAGUGUUGUACAUAUGUAUUGGAGUAAGAAAAUACACACCAGUGAGAUGAGGUUAUGUUCACAGACAGAUGCAUUAACAGUGAAAGCUGUUGAAAAGAUUUUUCCAUUCAUGGAUUUUAAUGAGAAAGGAUGAAGAAUCAAAGUCCUUUUAAGGAUUAAGCAAAGGAUUGGCAGGUUACACUGGGAAUCCUGAAAACAAUGAAGGUACAGAUGUGUCAUGGUUUGUGAGAUGUGAGCUCAGGAGACAUGCAAUUGUGAGGUAUUCUACAGAAUAAAUUGGCAGUGACUGCGCAGCUGUAGAUGAAAACAUCACGCAGUGUUGACA